CACGUAGUUAGCCGGGGCUUCUUACUCAGGUACCGUCAUCUUCUUCCCUGCUGAUAGAGCUUUACAUACCGAAAUACUUCUUCACUCACGCGGCGUUGCAGCAUCAGGGUUUCCCCCAUUGUGCAAUAUUCCCCACUGCUGCCUCCCGUAGGAGUUUGGGCCGUGUCUCAGUCCCAAUGUGGCCGGUCACCCUCUCAGGUCGGCUACUGAUCGUCGCCUUGGUGGGCCGUUACCCCGCCAACCAGCUAAUCAGACGCGGGUCCAUCUCAUACCACCGGAGUUUUUCACACCGGAACAUGUGUCCCUGUGCGCUUAUGCGGUAUUAGCAGUCAUUUCUAACUGUUAUCCCCCUGUAUGAGGCAGGUUACCCACGCGUUACUCACCCGUCCGCCACUCAGUCAAUCCGGAUUCCAUCCGAAAACUUCCUCUCGAUCGCUUCGUUCGACUUGCAUGUGUUAAGCACGCCACCAGCGUUCAUCCUGAGCCAGGAUCAAACUCU
rnacentral:rRNA from 1 species